AAGUCGUAACAAGGUUUCCGUAGGUGAACCUGCGGAAGGAUCAUUGGGGAAGAGGGGGAGUAUGAGAGUUGGAACGAGAGUGCAAUAUAUUCAUUUUCAUAUACAAUCCACACACAACUGCUGACAAUGGAUCUCUGGGCUCUU
rnacentral:misc_RNA from 1 species